rnacentral:rRNA from 1 species
CAGCCGCGGUAAUACGUAGGGCGCAAGCGUUGUCCGGAAUUAUUGGGCGUAAAGAGCUCGUAGGCGGCUUGUCGCGUCGGAUGUGAAAGCCCGGGGCUUAACCCCGGGUCUGCAUUCGAUACGGGCAGGCUAGAGUGUGGUAGGGGAGAUCGGAAUUCCUGGUGUAGCGGUGAAAUGCGCAGAUAUCAGGAGGAACACCGGUGGCGAAGGCGGAUCUCUGGGCCAUUACUGACGCUGAGGAGCGAAAGCGUGGGGAGCGAACAGGAUUAGAUACCC